UAUAAACCCAAAAAAACAAAGCAAAAGAACACAGAAUCAUUCACGCAUCAACAACGCCUCUCUAGCUCUGUCUCAACACUAAAGCCUCUCCAAUCCAACCUCAAAUCCACAUCCAAUCUCAGGUUGCUAGGAACAAAACCAAUCUAUUAUUCCUUUUGGUUCAUAGCAGAAAAAGCGUGGUGCUAGAAAAGACCGUACUGGUGAAGAAGAAACAUGGUAGCUAUCAUGUUUUUACCCCAUGAUUGAGGUACAUGACUGGGAAGCUGCUUUUGAAGUUGGAUACUAUUAAAUUCAUAGCAACAAAUCAUACCAUAAUUUCAGCUCUAAACUAUAUCUUUAAAAAAAAAAACAUUUUCCACUUUUUAUUUGACUCUCUAUGAAAUGAAUCUUUAUACUUAUCAUAGUCACUCUUUUGUACUCAUUUCUUUUGGAUUAUGGUAUUUUACACUACCUAAUAGCAGCAACGACUGCAAUGGCAACCCAACCUAGUGGCUGUAGUGAUGCUUGAAUAGUGAAAAUGCCCAUGGGACAAGAUUGAGUAGCCUAACUCCCUGUUUCAUCUUUUCAUUUUAUGGAAAUUGAUUUAUAUCAAA